GGGCUGCAGUAUUUUGACUGUACAAAGGUAGCAUAAUCAAUAGUCUCUUAAUUGGUGACUUGUAUGAAAGAUUGGAUGAGAUAUAAACUGUCUCUAAUUGAUUUAUAAAAAUUAAUUUUUUAGUAAAAAAGCUAAAAUAAUUUUAAAAGACGAGAAGACCCUAUAGAGUUUAAUAUUUUAUUUAGUAAUUAUUAAUAUAUGUAAUUUUAAAAAUUAAAAUUAAAUGAAAUAUUUUGUUGGGGUGAUAAAAAAAUUAAAUUAACUUUUUUUGAUUGUAAACAUUAAUUUAUGAUUAAAUGAUCCAUUUAUAGUGAUUAAAAGAAAAAAUUACCUUAGGGAUAACAGCGUAAUUUUUUUUUUUAGUUCAAA
rnacentral:rRNA from 1 species